rnacentral:rRNA from 1 species
UACGUAGGGGCCUAGCGUUGUCCGGAUUUAUUGGGCGUAAAGAGCUCGUAGGCGGUUCGGUAAGUCAGGUGUGAAAUCUCCACGCUCAACGUGGAGGCGCCACUGAAACUGCCGUGACUCGAGUCCGGUAGGGGAGUGUGGAAUUCCUGGUGUAGCGGUGAAAUGCGCAGAUAUCAGGAGGAACACCAGUGGCGAAGGCGGCACUCUGGGCCGGUACUGACGCUGAGGAGCGAAAGCGUGGGGAGCGAACAGG